CAUUGACCUGACUUAAACACUGUUGGAAGAAGUUCUUCUAACAGAGAGGAACUAACAGCAGAAGGAAACUCGGACAUCAGAACAAAGAGAGCACAACAGAACAGGAUUAUUGCCCUCACUGAUGAAGACUGGGGCACGACCCUGAGGAUGUAAGAUAAAAUAAACCUAGAUGGCUACGUAUAUAUAGAAUUGACAAGCCUUAGAUGAACCUACUCGUGAUGACAAUGGUGAAUCAUAACAAUGGCAAAGGGCAUUUUACCAGGUAAAGGUAGACAGCAAAGCAUCUUGCACUGUCAGAAGCCGAGAUGCAGAUGUUCCUCCACAAGACCGAAUGCAAACUGCAAUUAAGCGGGUACACGAGCCAGAAUGUGAGCUGUGGAGAAGUCAUUCACCAUCUUACUUUCUUCCGCCUUCGGCACUAAUGUCAUCUUUGAAUGACUUCCAUCCUACUGAUGCUGUCUACGUAAUUAUGAAACGCUUUCCAUCCUGUUUCAAGCAAUAACCUAUUUUACUUUUACUUUUCUGUCAAAUGAACUGAAUAAGUUUUAACACUUUUACAUCCAAAACAGAGGCAAAUACCACUGAUAUUUUUGAGUGGUUGCUAUUACUUCAUUCUCGAUUGAUGAACAGGGAACAUAUUUAUGUUUUACAUGUGUAGAACAUACCUGUGAGCCCACGUGUGUACACACACACGCACACGCAUUUUAUUUUAGUCUCCUCACGCUUGAGCUCAUCUUUCAUUCGCAUAAAUUAUUUUCUAAGUUUUAAUCACUAGGUUCUCUGAUGAGAAUUUCACUGAAUAUCAAUGAUCCAGACUAUACAGAACAUACUAUCCAAGAGACAUCGUUUAAAAGAUUAAAAAUACUUAUAUAAUAGCUAAACUAGUGCUUUUCAAAGUAGUGCGUUCUGGACAUGUCUAGGUGUCCCUGAGAUCCUUUCAGAGAGCCCUAAGGUCAAAACUAUUCUCAUGAUAAUACUGACACAUGACUUGUCUUUUUCACCCUCCUUCUCUCACGAGUCUAGAGUGGAAUUUGCAAGAGGUUAUAUCAUGUGUGAUGGCAUAAGAGACUGAAUAUGGAUGCAGAUAUGUUAAUUAGAUAUCUUCUGUUAAGCUGAAUAUUAGAUUUA